CAGGCUCAGCUUUGUGGCCUGCUAAAAAGCAUCUGUUUUAUCAGUUUUAUUUUAUUUUUUGUUUUCUUUUAAUUAGGCAGAUUUUGAAAAUCAGCAGAUAAUUGACCCAUCCGUAGUUUAACUGGGAUGGAAAGAAAAAGAAAUAUCAUUUGGAUUCACGUCUGUUUUAUUAUUUCAGUCAUUCUUGGUGUUUUAGCCAAUGUAGUGGUCAACCAGCUUCCAACAAGUGCAAUUGUACAAGAAGGAGAAGUUCUUACUAUUGAUUGCAGCAUGAAGGAAGGAAAUAUGGGAAGCUACUACAUGUAUUGGUACAAGCAAACACAUGACAAGCUCCUGAAGUUUGUAAACCGGGAGGGGAAAAGCUAUGGAGAAGGAUUCAAGGAACGUUUUGCCUCAGAAUUGUCAAGUUCUAAUAAUAAAUUCGCUUUACUCAUUUCUUCUACAAUACUUGCAGACAGCGGAGUAUAUUACUGUGCUGCAAGUUACACCUUGACAGAUUUAUUUUCAUGAGAAAUACAUUAACUAGUACCCCAUUUUUUACAAAUACAAAUGAAAGAAAUAAUAAUAAAAACAGA